UUGCGGCCAUACCACGUUGAAACAACAAUUCUCGUACGAACACCAAUGUUAAGCAACGUCAAGCCUGGUCAGUAUGUAGAUGGGUGACCUCUUGGAAAUGCCAGGUGCUGUAAG
rnacentral:rRNA from 1 species